rnacentral:rRNA from 1 species
GAUGAACGCUAGCUACAGGCUUAACACAUGCCAGUCGAGGGGAAACGGCAUCGAAAGCUUGCUUUUGAUGGGCGUCGACCGGCGCACGGGUGAGUAACGCGUAUCCAACCUGCCCAUCACUUGGGAAUAACCUUGCGAAAGUAAGACUAAUGCCCAAUGACAUCCCACGAAGUCAUCCGAAUGGGAUUAAAGAUUUAUCGGUGAUGGAUGGGGAUGCGUCUGAUUAGCUUGUUGGCGGGGUGACGGCCCACCAAGGCAACGAUCAGUAGGGGUUCUGAGAGGAAGGUCCCCCACAAUGGAACUGAGACACGGUCCAAACUCGUACGGGAGGCAGGAGUGAGGAAUAUUAGUCAAUGGGCGAGAGCCUGAACCAGCCAAGUAGCGUGAAGGAGGGCGGCCGUAUGGGUUGUAAACUGCUUUUAUAAGGGAAUAAAGUGGGUGACGUGUGACUUUUUGCAUGUACCUUAUGAAUAAGGACCGGCUAAUUACGUG